GACGAACGCUGGCGGCGUGCUUAACACAUGCAAGUCGAACGGAGCACCUUUGAAAGAGACUUCGGUCAAUGGAUGAGACUGCUUAGUGGCGGACGGGUGAGUAACGCGUGAGGAACCUGCCUUUCAGAGGGGGACAACAGUUGGAAACGACUGCUAAUACCGCAUGAUGCAUGAUCAGGGCAUCCUGGACAUGCCAAAGAUUUAUCGCUGAAAGAUGGGCUCGCGUCUGAUUAGCUAGUUGGUGGGGUAACGGCCUACCAAGGCGACGAUCAGUAGCCGGACUGAGAGGUUGAACGGCCACAUUGGGACUGAGAUACGGCCCAG
rnacentral:rRNA from 1 species